rnacentral:rRNA from 1 species
UACAGAGGGGGCAAGCGUUGUUCGGAAUUACUGGGCGUAAAGCGCACGUAGGCGGCUAUUCAAGUCGGGGGUGAAAGCCCGGGGCUCAACCCCGGAACUGCCCUCGAAACUAGGUAGCUAGAAUCUUGGAGAGGCGAGUGGAAUUCCGAGUGUAGAGGUGAAAUUCGUAGAUAUUGGGAAGAACACCGGUGGCGAAGGCGGCUCACUGGCUCGUAUCUGACGCUCAGGCGCGACAGCGUGGGGAUCAAACAGG